CGUGGGCUGCUAAUACAUGCAAGUCGAGCGAAUGGAUUAAGAGCUUGCUCUUAUGAAGUUAGCGGCGGACGGGUGAGUAACACGUGGGUAACCUGCCCAUAAGACUGGGAUAACUCCGGGAAACCGGGGCUAAUACCGGAUAACAUUUUGAACCGCAUGGUUCGAAAUUGAAAGGCGGCUUCGGCUGUCACUUAUGGAUGGACCCGCGUCGCAUUAGCUAGUUGGUGAGGUAACGGCUCACCAAGGCAACGAUGCGUAGCCGACCUGAGAGGGUGAUCGGCCACACUGGGACUGAGACACGGCCCAGACUCCUACGGGAGGCAGCAGUAGGGAAUCUUCCGCAAUGGACGAAAGUCUGACGGAGCAACGCCGCGUGAGUGAUGAAGGCUUUCGGGUCGUAAAACUCUGUUGUUAGGGAAGAACAAGUGCUAGUUGAAUAAGCUGGCACCUUGACGGUACCUAACCAGAAAGCCACGGCUAACUACGUGCCAGCAGCCGCGGUAAUACGUAGGUGGCAAGCGUUAUCCGGAAUUAUUGGGCGUAAAGCGCGCGCAGGUGGUUUCUUAAGUCUGAUGUGAAAGCCCACGGCUCAACCGUGGAGGGUCAUUGGAAACUGGGAGACUUGAGUGCAGAAGAGGAAAGUGGAAUUCCAUGUGUAGCGGUGAAAUGCGUAGAGAUAUGGAGGAACACCAGUGGCGAAGGCGACUUUCUGGUCUGUAACUGACACUGAGGCGCG
rnacentral:rRNA from 1 species